ACGGGUGAGUAACACGUGGGCAAUCUGCCCUUCACUCUGGGACAAGCCCUGGAAACGGGGUCUAAUACCGGAUAUGAGCCUGGGAGGCAUCUCCCGGGUUGUAAAGCUCCGGCGGUGAAGGAUGAGCCCGCGGCCUAUCAGCUUGUUGGUGAGGUAAUGGCUCACCAAGGCGACGACGGGUAGCCGGCCUGAGAGGGCGACCGGCCACACUGGGACUGAGACACGGCCCAGACUCCUACGGGAGGCAGCAGUGGGGAAUAUUGCACAAUGGGCGAAAGCCUGAUGCAGCGACGCCGCGUGAGGGAUGACGGCCUUCGGGUUGUAAACCUCUUUCAGCAGGGAAGAAGCGAAAGUGACGGUACCUGCAGAAGAAGCGCCGGCUAACUACGUGCCAGCAGCCGCGGUAAUACGUAGGGCGCAAGCGUUGUCCGGGAAUUAUUGGGCGUAAAGAGCUCGUAGGCGGCUUGUCACGUCGAUUGUGAAAGCCCGAGGCUUAACCUCGGGUCUGCAGUCGAUACGGGCUAGCUAGAGUGUGGUAGGGGAGAUCGGAAUUCCU
rnacentral:rRNA from 1 species